UACGAACCGUGCGAACGUUGUUCGGAAUCACUGGGCUUAAAGGGCGCGUAGGCGGGCCUGCUAGUCCGUGGUGAAAGCCCCCGGCUUAACCGGGGAAGUGCCAUGGAUACUGCAAGCCUGGAGGAGGGUAGGGGCAUCUGGAACGCUGGGUGGAGCGGUGAAAUGCGUUGAUAUCCAGCGGAACUCCGGUGGCGAAGGCGAGGUGCUGGACCCUAUCUGACGCUGAUGCACGAAAGCCAGGGGAGCAAACGGG
rnacentral:rRNA from 1 species